rnacentral:rRNA from 1 species
CCUACGGGAGGCAGCAGUGAGGAAUAUUGGUCAAUGGACGAGAGUCUGAACCAGCCAAGUAGCGUGAAGGAUGACUGCCCUAUGUGUUGUAAACUUCUUUUAUAAAGGAAUAAAACCUGGCACGUGUGCCUUUUUGCAUGUACUUUAUGAAUAAGGAUCGGCUAACUCCGUGCCAGCAGCCGCGGUAAUACGGAGGAUCCGAGCGUUAUCCGGAUUUAUUGGGUUUAAAGGGAGCGUAGUUGGGUUGUUAAGUCAGUUGUGAAAGUUUGCGGCUCAACCGUAAAAUCGCAGUUGAUACUGGCAGUCUUGAGUACAGUAGAGGUAUGCGGAAGUCGUGGUGUAGCGGUGAAAUGCUUAGAUAUCACGAAGAACCCCGAUUGCGAAGGCAGCUUACUAGACUGAGACUGACAUUGAUGCUCGAAAGUGUGGGUAUCAAACAGGAUUAGAUACCCGUGUAGUC